rnacentral:rRNA from 1 species
GACGAACGCUGGCGGCGUGCUUAACACAUGCAAGUCGAACGGAAAGGCCCUGCUUGCCGGGUACUCGAGUGGCGAACGGGUGAGUAACACGUGGGUGAUCUGCCCUGCACUUCGGGAUAAGCCUGGGAAACUGGGUCUAAUACCGGAUAGGAGCCAUUUUUAGUGUGAUGGUUGGAAAGUUUUUUCGGUGUAGGAUGAGCUCGCGGCCUAUCAGCUUGUUGGAGGGGUAAUGGCCUACCAAGGCGGCGACGGGUAGCCGGCCUGAGAGGGUGGACGGCCACAUUGGGACUGAGAUACGGCCCAGACGCCUACGGGAGGCAGCAGUGGGGAAUAUUGCACAAUGGGCGCAAGCCUGAUGCAGCGACGCCGCGUGGGGGAUGACGGCCUUCGGGUUGUAAACGCCUUUCGCUAGGGACGAAGCUUUUUGUGACGGUACCUAGAUAAGAAGCACCGGCUAACUACGUG